CCGGCCUGAGAGGGCGACCGGCCACACUGGGACUGAAACACGGCCCAGACUCCUACGGGAGGCAGCAGUGGGGAAUAUUGCACAAUGGGCGCAAGCCUGAUGCAGCGACGCCGCGUGAGGGAUGACGGCCUUCGGGUUGUAAACCUCUUUCAGCAGGGAAGAAGCGAAAGUGACGGUACCUGCAGAAGAAGCGCCGGCUAACUACGUGCCAGCAGCCGCGGUAAUACGUAGGGCGCAAGCGUUGUCCGGAAUUAUUGGGCGUAAAGAGCUCGUAGGCGGCUUGUCGCGUCGGUUGUGAAAGCCCGGGGCUUAACCCCGGGUCUGCAGUCGAUACGGGCAGGCUAGAGUUCGGUAGGGGAGAUCGGAAUUCCUGGUGUAGCGGUGAAAUGCGCAGAUAUCAGGAGGAACACCGGUGGCGAAGGCGGAUCUCUGGGCCGAUACUGACGCUGAGGAGCGAAAGCGUGGGGAGCGAACAGGAUUAGAUACCCUGGUAGUCCACGCCGUAAACGGUGGGCACUAGGUGUGGGCAACAUUCCACGUUGUCCGUGCCGCAGCUAACGCAUUAAGUGCCCCGCCUGGGGAGUACGGCCGCAAGGCUAAAACUCAAAGGAAUUGACGGGGGCCCGCACAAGCGGCGGAGCAUGUGGCUUAAUUCGACGCAACGCGAAGAACCUUACCAAGGCUUGACAUACACCGGAAAGCAUUAGAGAUAGUGCCCCCCUUGUGGUC
rnacentral:rRNA from 1 species